rnacentral:rRNA from 1 species
AGCAGCCGCGGUAAUUCCAGCUCCAAUAGCGUAUAUUAAAGUUGUUGCAGUUAAAACGCUCGUAGUUGAAUUUCGAGAUCAGUACGCUGGUCGUGCCUUCGGUAUGCACUGGUGUCACUGGUUUCUCCCUUCUGAAGAACCGUCAUGCCAUUCAGUUGGUGUGGCGGGGAAUCAGGACUGUUACUUUGAAAAAUUAGAGUGUUUAAAGCAGGCUCGCGCUUGAAUACAUUAGCACGGAAUAAUGAAAUAGGACGUUUGACCCUAUUUUGUUGGUUUCUAGGAUCGACGUAAUGAUUAAUAGGGAUAGUUGGGGGCAUUAGUAUUCAAUUGUCAGAGGUGAAAUUCUUGGAUUUAUUGAAGACUAACUACUGCGAAAGCAUUUGCCAAGGAUGUUUUCAUUAAUCAAGAACGAAAGUUAGGGGAUCGAAGACGAUCAGAUACCGUCGUAGUCUUAAACCAUAAACCUAUGCCGACUAGGGGUCGGAUGAUUGUUAAUUUUUAANGUACUCA